rnacentral:rRNA from 1 species
UACGUAGGGACCAAGCGUUGUUCGGAUUUACUGGGCGUAAAGGGCGCGUAGGCGGCGCGACAAGUCACUUGUGAAAUCUCUGGGCUUAACUCAGAACGGCCAAGUGAAACUGUUGUGCUAGAGUGCAGAAGGGGCAAUCGGAAUUCUCGGUGUAGCGGUGAAAUGCGUAGAUAUCGAGAGGAACACCAGAGGUGAAGACGGGUUGCUGGGCUGACACUGACGCUGAGGCGCGAAAGCAUGGGGGAGCGAACAGG